CGCAGCAGGGUAGCUAUGCAUGGACGGGAUAACCGCUGAAAGCAUCUAAGCGGGAAGCCUCCCUCAAGAUAAGAUUUCUUAGGACGGUCGGAGACCACGACCUCGAUAGAUCGGAUGUGGAAGCGCGGUAACGCGUGAAGCUAACCGAUACUAAUUGUCCUAUUCGCGCUUGA
rnacentral:rRNA from 1 species